AACGGUCACACUUCGCGUCACACAUUUUUUAAGUCGCAUCGAAUAAUUUCGCCCUGCAUUGUUUAGCGAAUUUGCAGAUUUUAUCAUUAUGCCAGCGGUUGUGCGUAUAAAGCGGCGGAUCGACGAGGAGCCCCACACUGCAUUUGUGCUAAAUGGCAAGCGGCGACGCCUCCACAACGAUGAGAAUGCUCUGGAGGAUUCGGGCGCGGUGGCGGGAGCAUCGGCAUCAGACAAAGACGAACUGACCACCGUGCUCAAGUUUGCCGGCACGCUGGAAAAGCAGGACGACAGUGCCACCCGUCAGUUUGCGGCUGCCAGACUAAACAAAACCACGGCCCGUGAGUUGGUGCAACAGCAGCGAUCCAACGAUGCGGCCAUUGCCAGUGCCCUAAGGCGAGAUCGUCAGCGUCAGGAGGCGCAGCAAAAUGCCCGUGAGCAACGUUUCCGGGUGGUAAACUGUCUGCGCAGUACCCUCGAGGAUAAUGCCACCGAAACGGAGUCCCCGGAGAACCAAAACCCUGAGACCAGGAGCCAAAUUACCAUUGUGGACAUAGAAUCUCAACAACAGCAACCACAGUCGGGUGCACAGAAUCCCGUAACUCUGGAUCAACAAAACGUUAUAGAGCACAGCCAUGAUCAGCAACAGCCCGCUGAUUCCGAUGUGGGUUAUGUUUACGAUCUAUAUGUUCCCGAGAAUGAGAUGCAGGCCGCCUAUGUUGAUAUGAUGGACGACAACUAUUUAAGGUUUGUCAUACAUAUUGAGCCGCAGAAAACGUUGAGCCUUACCAAUUACUAUAUGUAACCGAAUACUAUAUAUAUACUUAUGGCAUAUAUGUAAGCGGUGUGUCUGUGUGUCGGUGCUAGCGUAUCUGUGUGGACAUAGUUGCAAUCACUGUUUAUAGCUCAAUAAUUCGAUUCGUUCUCCAUAAGGUUGUAUUAUCCGUUUAAUUACUACAACAACUGCUACUGGUAAACAUGAGAAUAACAAAAAGAAGAUAAAGAGAGAGAGAGAGAGACAAAGCCCGGGCAAUAAAGAAGUGUGAUGACACCCAACACCCCACCCACGACAAUAAAAAAGGACUGCAACUGGCAACUCACAUCACAAAUAGUUCAUUAUCAGCAUCUGACAAAUGCCUAAAAUACUAGCGAUUGAAAGGAUUGUCAUGAGAUUAUCAUGCACGAUCUGAAAAAAUUAAUGUUGCUGAAAACAGUUUCUAAAUAGAAAUUAUAAAAACGAACCUUUAAAGCUGUUAACAAAAUUGUGUUUGUGAGAUUCCGUAUAAUUUUAAUAUAAUGUUAUUUAAUAUUCCAAUAUAAUAAUAUGUUAUGAUGAAAAUAUACUUUAAAUAAUGUAUCAUAAAUAUGUAAAGUUUUCAUAUUUCCCUCUUGCCAAAGUCUUUAAAUAAAAUAAAUAUUUUUAAGUUUUUUACUAAAUACGAAUUUCUUCGGGAUCCUGUUGUUAUCACGCACAAUUAGUGCAUUCUUUCGAUAGAAUUUUAGGCAAAUGUCUCAUUACGAUAAGUUUUUAGAUUUAAUUAGCUUAUAUGUUAGUUUAAUUUAGCUUGACAAGCACACACACACAAACACACCGCAUAUUCUAAACUGUUUUCACUGAGUAUUUAUCAUUUAGUUUUCGCCAGUUGUCAGUUGCCUUUUUCGUUAUUUUUUGCAUUCCGAAAUAAACAGAAAACAAUAGUGCUGAAGUCUAUUUAAGUGCAUAGUUUUAGCUAAGUUUUUGUUUUAUUUUUGUUGGGGUCUAGCGUUGCCCGAAAUCGAAAAUAAACUGAAUAAAGAAUUCGACAUAAAUA